rnacentral:rRNA from 1 species
UACGGGGGGGGCAAGCGUUGUUCGGAAUUACUGGGCGUAAAGGGCUCGUAGGCGGCCAACUAAGUCAGACGUGAAAUCCCUCGGCUUAACCGGGGAACUGCAUCUGAUACUGGAUGGCUUGAGAUUGGGAGAGGGAUGCGGAAUUCCAGGUGUAGCGGUGAAAUGCGUAGAUAUCUGGAGGAACACCGGUGGCGAAGGCGGCAUCCUGGACCAACACUGACGCUGAGGAGCAAAAGCCAGGGGAGCAAACGGG